UACGUAGGGUGCAAGCGUUAAUCGGAAUACUGGGCGUAAAGCGUGCGCAGGCGGUUAUGCAAGACAGAGGUGAAAUCCCCGGGCUCAACCUGGGAACUGCCUUUGUGACUGCAUGGCUAGAGUACGGUAGAGGGGGAUGGAAUUCCGCGUGUAGCAGUGAAAUGCGUAGAUAUGCGGAGGAACACCGAUGGCGAAGGCAAUCCCCUGGACCUGUACUGACGCUCAUGCACGAAAGCGUGGGGAGCAAACAGG
rnacentral:rRNA from 1 species